rnacentral:rRNA from 1 species
GACGAACGCUGGCGGCGUGCGUAACACAUGCAAGUCGAACGAGAGAGUGAGAGAAGCUUGCUUUUCUUACAAUCGAGUGGCAAACGGGUGAGUAACGCGUAAACAACCUGCCCCGCAGAUGGGGACAACAGCUGGAAACGGCUGCUAAUACCGAAUACGGUCCUCUUAGCGCAUGGUAAGAGGAAGAAAGGGUGGCCUCUGGAACAAGCUACCGCUGUGGGAGGGGUUUGCGUCUGAUUAGCUGGUUGGAGGGGUAACGGCCCACCAAGGCGACGAUCAGUAGCCGGUCUGAGAGGAUGAACGGCCACAUUGGAACUGAGACACGGUCCAGACUCCUACGGGAGGCAGCAGUGGGGAAUCUUCCGCAAUGGGCGAAAAGCCCUGACGGAGCAAACGCCGCGUGAGUGAAAGACGGGCCCUU